UAGCACUAGUUUUGAACACAUUUGUAAGCGUUACACUGUGCCCCUUGUCCAAAAGGAAGUACAAGCCAAUACAGCGUGUGCUGUGAUCCGUCAAUUUUUAUCAAACUGGAAAGCACAUGCUCUAUACUUCCAGCCACAAUGGGAUGCUCUAAAACCAGCCCCCCCUUCCACUGGCUUGUGGUUUUGAAGGAAUGUUUAUCUUGCGUUUUUUACUGGAAGUUAUAACUGACACUUUGUGGCAUGCAUGUACUAUAAUAAUACAUGGCUACGAACAUGGCUACGAUAAAAAUAAUGAGGUGGACGUCUGCAUGCAAUGGUUGAUGGUGCAACAUGUGCAACAUGUACAAAGUGCUGUCUCAUCAUGCCAAUGAUGAAAUAUGCAACUCAGCUCUCACCUCUCACCCUCCACUCGUCCAGCCUGUGACCCAUAGAGAUUAGUAUUAAUAAAUAAUUAUACAUUACCUAGACAACCAAUUUCCUCCUCAUCGCAGUUGUGGAAAAGAGCGAACACCACAGAAUGCAUGAUAGCAGGACCUGCUGCCAAGUGAUGUCCAGCGUAAGCAUGUUAUAAUUAAUAUAUAAUAUUGUACCUGGAGGACGUGGUUUCCCACAAACGUUCCUCGGCUUCGAAGGCAAUGUCUAGGGCUUUACGAAUGGACCGUCCUCUCGCUUAAACAACAAAGUUGUUAGUGCUGAUCCGUCCUAAAGAUAUCAGUGUCCUAAAGAUAUAAUUAUGUAUUGCGUUCCAAUUAACUUUCUUUGCUUUCACUUCUAGCUCUGAGCGGAGCUCUGGAUCAUCCUCCUCCUCAGAGCAGUUAUGUGAAUUUUGUAUGUGAAAGGUAUGUAUAACUAAGUUGUUAGAAGCACCUGACAGCCCAUAUAUAUAGCCCAUAUAUAUUGCACAGGAACUCCUCUGUACACGUAUAUAUAUUGUAUUUAACGUCGUACCUCGUGUGAAGGUUGUCCACCUGAUCCUGAAAUAGGUUAGUGAUGUUAUCAGGAGCAUUGGGGUGAAAACUCAUUUUGAAGCUCCCUCCUCCCUUAAUCUUUACCAUCCCUCCCUUCGUGCCAGAUUAGUCGGUGCACUCUAAAUAGAUCGUGAUUGUCGGGUAGUAGGAUUUACUAUCACUCUUAUAAUGUUCUUGCAUGGGUGGCAAAAGCAGGGUGAAUGCCUAUUUUAACCGCGCAAGAACUUUUCUUCUGUUUAAAGAAAGAUCCACAAACCGCUCAUCACCGCUGUUUCACAACAAUGAAAAUUCACCACUUAGUUUAUCAGGAUGUAGUACAUGAUUAUGACAAGAUAAUACAUUCCUCCAAACCACAAACCAGUGGAAGUGGGGGCUGGUUUUGGAGCAUCCCAUUGUGGAAGGGGAUUCCUAAGUAUGUGAAAAAUGUGACUGUGCUGGAAGUAUAGUCCAGCACAGAGCAUGUGCUUUCCAUAGAUACCAGUUUGAUAAAAAUUGACAGAUCACUGCACAAGCUGUGUUGGCUUGUACAAGUACAUCAUUUUGGACAAGGGGUACAGUGCCUCCAGCAAAGAAGCGCUUCUGUCACCAUCUGUGUUUCCUAAAACUAGUGAGCAGCAGUUACUUGAAAAGAAAGUCCUGAGGGGGACGUCUGCAUGCAAUGGUUGAUGGUGCAACGUGUACGAAGUGCUGUCUCAUCAUGCAUCUUAAUCUGUCUACACCAUUCGGGAUGAUGCCUUUAUAUUGUUGAAAUAGGCAUGAAUGGACUCAGCUCCUUGCUCUCCCAUCAAUCCCAAUCCCACUCGCCACUCGUUAAGCCAGUCAACCACAUGCGUUUCAAGCAUGUGCACUUUGGGAAUCACACUUGCAUCGGGAAAUUGCUCCCGAUAAAAGCUCAUGAAGUUGUGGAAUAGAGCAAACACCACAGAAUAUUUCCUGUGUAUCCUCUCAGCUCGCUGCAUGAUAGCAGGACGAUAAUGUCCUGCUGUAAACACCGCAUUGCAGAGAGUCACCGUGUUCUCAGGCUGUAGAGAGAGCGCCGCAUAAGCUCGAUUUCUUCUAACUCUGAGCGGAGGGCUUGCAGCUCCUCAUCCUCACCAAACACAUGUAAGGAUAGUAACCUGUCUAUCUCAUCUUUGAGGAUCCUCGCUCUAGUAACGUCGCCCACAUAGUUGGAGUAACUGGGGCCCCCCUUGUCGCAACUAUCCUCCUCAUCUCGAACAGCCACGUCCAGCACAUGGCACUCAUCUUCUAGCAACUGGAAGAGGCGAUAGAAUAUGCCUAGAGUUAUGUGGAGUCCUGGUGGGCAAAUCAACAUCAUUUUAGGAAUAAAGUCAUGGCUGCAAGAAAUCUCUGGUGAUCUUGUACGAUACUAUCAGUACUUCUGCUCGGAAUAUUGGCGGGAGGGUUCUUCAGUUGGUCCGAUGUCACCAAGCACCACAAGCAGUUAUGUCGACCUAUUCAAUUUUUUGUGUGAAAGCCCAAACAUAUAGCACAAGAACUCAUAGUCGCCACUUAGGAAGACCCGGAUUGUGUUUCCUCUGUACAGGUUGUCCACCUGAUCCUGAAAUCGCUCCAGUGCAAUUUUGAGGUUUGUUAUGUUAUCAGGCGCCUCAAACACGCAAAAAGCACAGGUGUUGACAGGGGAGUUGGGGUGAUCAACAUUGCAUAUUUGAAAACUCAUCUUGAAGCUCCCUCCUCCCUUGUCUCCACACAGCUUUACCCAGAUUUCAUUCUCGGGUAUCCUCCCUUCGUGCCAGGGAAUGUGAAUGGAACAAGCUCAGACUUAAGGUUAUCAACCCCUGCCAGUGACUCUGCCUCUGCUCUCAUUUUCUUCUCUCAUUUUCUUCUCAGAAGCAAUUUUGAUGUUAGGUCCCAGCAUUCUUCAAAGAAAAAAGAAAUAAGGUAUCAUCAGGACUGACUGCAUCCCCAGGCUUGCUGUAACAGAAAACUCCACUUGAAAGCACCCUGUUGUGUUUCUGAGCUCCUCGACCAGUCUCUCUCGGUCUUCCUUGGUCUUCCUUCCCAAUCACCUUGACUUCGUUACACAUCUGUGCUACCUCCUCUCCACCACUCACUCGCUUUCUUGUAAUGAGGAGCUCACUGCUGCGGCUCUCAGGGUGGUCUGGCUCGCACUCCCACUAGAAACUCUUGGUGAGCUCACUUGCACCAUUGUGCGAGGCUGUAAAUAAUGUUAUGUGCGGCAUAAUAAUAAUAAUAAUAAUAAUUUUGUUCCUACCUGUCCCCCUGUCUUUACUACUAGAGUUUGAGAAUGGUGCAUACUGCGCUUAAUGAAACUUGACUGCAGUUUCUCCUCGAGAGGCGUCAAAGACAUUUCUUGUGGUCUGAUCAAGAGGUCGGAAGGGCGGAGUGGGACAGGCUUAAAGUGUGUGCACUCACACUUGCUGUCAAAUGUGACUUCAGGUGGAGAGGUAAUCAAAUUGAGAUCGUAUAGAUGGUCUAAAUGGCAACAGGGACAUGAUGGGGUCCGGGAAAUUUCGAGACACUUGCACAAACAAUCGGCACAUACAAGAUUAUUGCACUCUUUCAGCUCGAUUGGCUUGUUGACAAUCUCCAAACAGAUAGGGCAGUCAAAUAUAUCGUGUUGAGUAAUCACAUUGUUUUGCUGGCAGAAGGCCGGAGGUGCAAUGGACUUAACGUGCGUUAUUGCUGACUGAAAAGAAUUUUUCCCUGGUCUACCAGGAUUAUUCUGUUUCUUUGGCCUUCCACCAACACUGAGAUCAGCCUUAUGGCCCGAGCAAGAAAUCUUACGAUUCUGGGAGCCUUUUUUCUUUUUGAAGAAAGACCCACAAACCCGGCAGUGCUUUGAGAGCUCAACUCAAUGCUCUUCACUCAUUGUACGAUCGUAUAGUCCUGAAG